CUGUCUCCGCAAGAGUAGUUACCUACCCACUUGCUCCUCCCCCUCGGUGUCUCCUCCCUCCCUCCCCCCACACAUAUACAUACAGCAGGCCAGACACUUGGAGAGAGAGGUCUCUUGGGCGAACACGAAGGACAGGAGAGCGGAGCACAGAGCCGUGAUUCCCUGGUUGCCGUUGUGUCUGUGGGUGUCUACGCCGAGCUGCGGAGGAGAUCGGGUCGAGGGGCGCGCGGCGUUGCUGUACAUGACGCGUUAGACUCUCUCACGCCGACAGACACACACACGACUUUUCAUCUUCCUCAUCACAGACACUAAAGCCAAAGAAAGGAAACCGAAACGGAAAACUCCGUUGAUGUCGUUUGCUGUCGAUAGCUGCGUUGUUACAUUGCUCGCUUCCCCCCUCUGACGGACACAGACUCAUCUGUCUUGGGCUCGUGAACCACGCCCUCCCCAUUCUCCGCCCUACCCCUCCCUUCAUUGAGAGGGAAGACAAGGAGUGAAAGCAGGGGGGGGCAUUCUGUUGCUGUAUCCUUCACGGUCUCCCGCUCCCUUUCACAGUACUUACCUUUCCUGCUGUUCUCAACAGUGCACGAUAACGUGCGCCAGGCUGCCAUCUUUGUGUGCGUGUGUGUGUCUGCGCCCGCGAGUCAUGCUUCAGCGCAGUCUCUCGCGCUUCUUUGCCCACCUCCUCCGCGAGGUGGACACGGCCGGGUUUGCCGGCGACUUCCGCCGCCUGCACCACGUUGGCGCUGCGUCGACGCAAGCGAAAGCGAGAGAGGCGCGGCAUGCUGCAUGCAACGUACUCUUCUGCGGCCACCACGGGACCGGCAAGCUGAAUCUGCUGAAGGCGAUAGGCCUGCAGUGCGAAAAGAAGGGGCAGCGGGUGGCCUUCGUUUCCGCAGACAACCAGCGGGCGGCGCGGCUGGAUGGGUACCUGAUCAACUUUUUCAUCGGGAUGCGUGUUAGCCGCGACGAGCUGCCCUCACAGGAACAGUUGGAAGGCACCCUGGAGCGGCAUGUGCGCCUCGUGGAGUCUACCUUCGCAAGCAGCCUUCCAAGCCUCUGCAACAUCGAUGUUCUGAUACUCGAUGCGCUAGAGCUUGUGCAGCCGACGGUGCUGCUCUCGAUGGACGCGGUGGCGCGGCGGUUGCGUGGGCAGCCGAGCACGCCGUUUGGCGGGCUGCGUGUGUAUGCCGCGGCCGACUUCUGGCGGCUGCCCGUCCAUCCCACCAGCGACACUGGCGGCUACCUCUUCCAGCUGGAGCAGUGGGAGGUGCUAUUUCCUUUGCAGACGCUACUGCACAAGUCUCACGUGCAGAAAGAGAAGGAGCUGCGGCGCUUAACCGAGCUGGCGUUCUAUGGUGCACUAACGCUGCCGCAGAUGAAGGAGCUGGAAAAGUUGUCGAUGAAGGAGAAGCCGGAGUCGCGGCUCUUCUCCUGGUCGAGCUCCACGACGGAAGCCGAGAAGGGCACCGCGACAGCAAGGGAAGGCGAAGACGAAGAGGGUGAAAUCGAGGAGGAGGACGCCAUGAGCAUCGCUCAGUGGGCCAGCUUCCCGGGCGAGGCAGUGGCUGCCGACUCGCCCGACGGGCCGGAAGGGGCGCUCGAAGCGACAAAGGAUGACGAGGGGGCGGUCAACGAUCCCGCCUCAGGCCAGACGUCACUCUCGUCCUCUUCCUCUGCGCUGGCGCUGCUAAACGACGACAUGACUUCCAACUCGUUCGUCGCCACCCGCAUGAUGCUCCGCUUUCCUCGCCAGCCCGCCGUAAAGGAGAUGCCGCUGCGCUACCGCCAACUCAAGCGGACAGAGAUGGGUAACUUCCUCGUGAACAUGCUUGUACACUCUUCCUCGGCGACAUCGGUAGGACUGGUCGACUCCCUCAGCGUCGACGUUGGUAGUCGGGUGCACCUCCUCCUCGAUGGCCAGGAGCAUUACGGGGUGCCUGGCGGCGCGGUUGGCGAGGUGAUGCAGGUGGGGCCGCACUUCUUGUCCAUCCAUUUCCCUCGUGAGCACCGCACCGUCGACAUCCCCCGGAUGCGGGUGGUGUGCUACCACCCCUUCUACCCAGAGAUCCGAUACGAGCUGCAGCAGUUCCCCGUUUUCCCGCGCAAGCGUAUCUGCCCGAUGAACAUACUCACCUAUCCCCACGUGUUCUUUGUCAACCUCAACGGGCGCCGCAUGGCGGACACGAACGACCUCGGCAACCUCCUCGCGCAUCAGCGCAGCUUUUCGGACUUCACCAUUCGCAACACGUCGGACUUCGCCAAUCUCGACGGCAUGGUGCACGAGCCGACACGCAUCUACUACCACAAGAUCAGCGGCAAGCCGAUCAGCACCGCCAAAGAGCAGUGGUGCCGCAACUGCAAGCAGUUCGUGCCGACCGACUCUUUCUUCGAGCAUUGGGCAGCGUGCGUGCACUCGGUGCGUUGGUGCAUCGAUUGCAACCAGACCGUGUCCCUCGAGCUGCUGGGGCCGCACAGGGAGAAGCAUCAAGUUGUGCUCUGCCUGGACUGUGGCAGGCCGGUGGAGUGGCGACACUGGGAGGGUCACCGGCUCUCCUGCGGGCCCAUGAUGCGCGAGGUCAGCACGGACAAUCAGUUUAUCCCGCUGCGAACGCGUCAGCUGGCAUUGGAGAUGGGCCUCGACAAGCGCGACCUUCACACCGUGGCCUCCAUCACCAAGAGCAGUUUGCCGAAACCGAGGGAGGGGGUCCUCUAAGGACAGGGACGAGGAGGAAAGCGAAGAGAGCCCACGCUUUGGUGCGCUUGCGCGCAUGCGGACACACACACACACACAACAUGAAUUAACUGUAGCGGCAAGGGAGGGACAGCGAGAGAAGGGGGGGGGGCGGCGUUGUCUUUCGACGAAGUGCGCAAGGGCGUCAACGCGUGCCUCCCUCGAUCUCCCUCUCUUUGUAAGUUUAUGUGUACGUGUGUGUGUGCGUGUGCUGCGGUGUAUAUCACAGACCAGAAGUAGUCACCCUACAGAGAAAAGGAUGGUCGCGAGAGGGCGAGAGGUAAGGAAGCGGAUCUGUGCGUGAGCAAGGUGGGUACAGGUGGGACGGUGGCGGUGGCGGAAGCGGUGGAAGGGCAGGGUGGGAACCCCGCAACGCACUCGCCCAAAGUGGCCGAGAGACGGGUCUUCAAACGUUUCCCCCGCGUUGCACGAUUUGGCGGUGGUGGCGAGGUAGGUGAGCGAGGGCAGUGUAGAAGCCUUUCCUAUGUACGGAGCCUCCAUCUGCUCUCUCUCUUCGUUUUCAUCACUUAAACCUGCAAGCGCGGGCCGAGACACGCCUCAG
rnacentral:misc_RNA from 1 species